CGUCCUCUCGUCACCAUAUUUGGUGAUGAGUGGAAACGCCAACCAAAUGCUUCGGAUUUACACAUCCGGUGAAACAUCUGGCUCACUGUUCCAUCUGUGGCGUAAAGGUCUCUCUCUCACCCCAGUCAAAUGGAUUAGUAUUAGUAAUGCACACACAUCUGUCUUCUCUGUAGGUGUUCCCCUUGGACUCUAGCUGCUCUCGGAGGAGGUGGGUGGUGCAGUGGAGGAUGACCUCCGUCUGGACACAGACUGCGAUC